rnacentral:tRNA from 1 species
GGUGGUAUAGCCAAGAGGCUAAGGCGUGGGACUGCAACUCCCUGAUCACCGGUUCGAAUCCGGUUACCACCU